GAUGAACGCUGGCGGCGUGCCUAAUACAUGCAAGUCGAGCGAACAGAUGAGGAGCUUGCUCCUCUGACGUUAGCGGCGGACGGGAGAGUAACACGUGGUUAACCUACCUAUAAGACUGGGAUAACUUCGGGAAACCGGAGCUAAUACCGGAUAAUAUAUUGAACCGCAUGGUUCAAUAGUGAAAGACGGUUUUGCUGUCACUUAUAGAUGGAUCCGCGCCGCAUUAGCUAGUUGGUAAGGUAACGGCUUACCAAGGCAACGAUGCGUAGCCGACCUGAGAGGGUGAUCGGCCACACUGGAACUGAGACACGGUCCAGACUCCUACGGGAGGCAGCAGUAGGGAAUCUUCCGCAAUGGGCGAAAGCCUGACGGAGCAACGCCGCGUGAGUGAUGAAGGUCUUCGGAUCGUAAAACUCUGUUAUUAGGGAAGAACAAAUGUGUAAGUAACUAUGCACGUCUUGACGGUACCUAAUCAGAAAGCCACGGCUAACUACGUG
rnacentral:rRNA from 1 species